UUUCAAGAAAUAGCUUGACUUUUCAAAAAAAAAAUGCCAGAAAGUUAUUUUAAGAAUAAACUAUAAUUGUCUAGGAAGUUAUCAAAACAUCCCACAAAAAGUAGGGUAGAGAUCUUCAUGUAUGGAUAUAUAAUUAACUAUAACUAGGAAUAUUGAAAUUUGCAGCUAAUUUGGAAAUGAGAACUCUUUAUCAAGACAUAUAUUAGAUAAUAAUCCCGUUGGUUUAAUUACAUAUUUGUUUGAGAAAUUUUCUGUUGGUAAAAAUAAGGACAAUAUUUAUUCAACAACGGCAGGAUUACAACAUUUUGAUUUAACGACUAUAAUGGACAUAAUUUUAUUUCAUUACUGGUUUCCGAAAAAGGCAACAACAGCUGCUAGAUACUAUUGUGAAAAUUCCAGCAUAGAAGGACUCCUAUCAGGAUUACACAAUAUACCUAUAGAUACAAGUGUUCCUUGUGGAUGUGCCUUUUUUGAAGAUGAAUUCAUUUAUCAACCCGAGAGUUUUCUUCGAGACAAGUAUCCAAAUUUAAUUCAAUAUAAUACUUAUCCUGCAGUUGGUCAUUUUGCAGCGAUAGAAGCUAAUGAUGUUCUCACCAAAGAUAUUAUUUUAUUUGUUAAUAAAUUAUAUGAAUCUAAUUUAUUGUAAUGCGCUUUGUAUAUUUUUACUUAACGUGGAAGCGUUGUUUAAAGCUGAUACGUCCCAUAAAAUAAUUGAUAACACAAUGAUAUUAAAUAUUUGUUAAUGGUUUUUGAAAAAUAUACGAAAAUACAAACUAAA